AUAUUAAAUGGCUCAAUUUUCAGAUUCCCAAAACAUAUUUGGGCAGGUUUGUUGGUUCAUUAUGUGCACUGAUGGGUGUAUUAACUAUUGCAUUACCAGUGCCCGUUAUCGUUGCUAAU
rfam:Onchocerca volvulus assembly O_volvulus_Cameroon_v3 genomic scaffold, OVOC_OM4